rnacentral:tRNA from 1 species
GGGGAUGUAGCUCAAUUGGUAGAGCACUGCCUUUGCAAGGCAGGGGUUAGGGGUUCAAGUCCCCUCAUCUCCA